UAUAGCAGAAGAGGAGCACUGCCCAGGCAGAUCAUUUGUGGAGCCUCAACUCCAAUACAAACGAUCCAUGGGGAGCAGUGCCGAGGUAAAACAAAGGUGAGGCUUUGAUUUACCGGUUGCAUGGGCUGAAUCCCUGUGACUGUCAUCAGACGAGACUGGUGAAGAGCUUCUGAGGAC
rnacentral:ncRNA from 2 species